AUGUUGUUAUACUCACUGGAGCGAGGUUGUUCUGGAGCUUUUGUAUGUACAGUGGAACCUUUAUGCUUUUAUAUAUAUGUUUUAGUUAUAGCGGCUGUUUACCUCUUGUAUAGCUAUAUUCUUUUACAGGUACAGCUAUCGCUUCGUAUACAUGAAAAAUUUCUGUGUAUACGAUGGGUCUGUUGGCGUGCCCGAAAAAAUAUGGUAAUCGAGGGCGUGACAGAUUAAGUUGGUAUCAGAGCUUGGAAUUAGGUCGUUGGGA
rnacentral:lncRNA from 1 species